AACGUAGGUGGCGAGCGUUAUCCGGAUUUACUGGGCGUAAAGGGUGUGCAGGCUGCCCCUCAAGUGGUGUCUGAAAGGGCUCGGCUCAACCGGGCUAGGUUAUGCCAGACUGAGGGGCUAGAGAGCGAGAGCGGGACGUGGAAUUCCGGGUGUAGUGGUGAUAUGCGUAGAUAUCGGGAGGAACACCAGUGGCGAAGGCGGCUUUCUGGGCCUUACCUGACGCUGAGACGCGAAAGCGUGGGGAGCGAACCGG
rnacentral:rRNA from 1 species